GGCUCCUGCCAAGGAGUUGCUAGGGCUACAGACCGCGAAGGCCAAGCCAGUGGGACCAAUGGUGGAACCCCUGCUGACCCCAGAGGACAAGAGUGAGCCGGAAGGCUGACACCCCCAGGAGAACUGACAGAGCAGGAACCAAGGCUUGAUCUGACAGCGUUCCCCCCCGGAGUCUGCAUUGCUGCUCCAAGCCCAGCCUUGGCUCCACUCUCAGCAGGCUGGUGAAGGUGAGCCUGUGACGUCUUGGGCCUCUUGCACUCAAUGGCGCAUUGAAGCACAUCAGGAAAGGAUCAGGUAUGGACCAAGGCAGCAUCAUUUGAAUCCUGGGAUUGAGUUCAAGGCCCACACCGGGUUAUGGUUCAGAAUCGGAG